AAAUAUGAAAGUGAACUAGCUGUAAUGUCUAUCACUUUGCUGAUCAUCAGGUUACUCUGACUAAUCUAGCUGGCCAAGCAGGUAUCUCUUCCCUCCUGCAUCACGUUAUAUACAACACUUUCAAAACUUCAUGCUUGGUCCAGGAGUAUCUAGAUAGAAGAUGCUAGCUCUUCAAUCUCUUAGUAAAAAUCACCCC
rnacentral:snRNA from 1 species